rnacentral:rRNA from 1 species
UACGUAGGGUGCGAGCGUUAAUCGGAAUUACUGGGCGUAAAGCGCGCGCAGGCGGUCUUCCAAGUCAGUGGUGAAAGCCCGGAGCUCAACUCCGGAACUGCCAUUGAAACUGUGAGACUUGAGGAUGAGAGAGGUGAGUGGAAUUCCCAGUGUAGAGGUGAAAUUCGUAGAUAUUGGGAAGAACACCGGUGGCGAAGGCGGCUCACUGGCUCAUAUCUGACGCUCAGGCGCGACGAGCGUGGGGAGUCAAACAGG